ACUCGAAUCUGGGAACCCUGAGACCAGGAAGCUAAGAAGCCAGCACUGGCCUGCUGGAUGAUGAGUACCACCCCUAUGCCUGCUGACAGCCAGCCGACCCCAGAUCUGAUGGGCUCCUGCCUGAGUGUGCCCAGAUGACACCAACUAGAGCAGAGUGUUUGAACUCACCAUAAGACUGACACACCACGUGCACCAGGGGAUAAGACUUCCAGAGGACUCGGUCACACCAGGAAGGCAAGUUGUACUUCAUCUGCAAAUCAAAGUCAUAGGCUUUAAAAAAUGCCUCUUAUUAUUAUUUUUUUAAUCAGUAAAAGAACAGAUUAACUGGUGGCCUCUGUAAUCCUCAAAUUCAUCGGCUGUUGGCUUUUUAUAGAAUUUCCCUGUAGGUGGCUUUAAACUUUUUUCACAUGGCUCAAGUCCAGACUCCACUGCCACGCCUUCUUCUUUAGACUAAGAUAACUCACCUUGCUGUAUUCCCUCACAUAUCCUCCUGACUACUUCAGUAUCCCUUGUAUCUUCACCUUCUCUUACUUUCUUUCUGACUCAGAUGAACCCCCACCUGUAUUUUCAGCUCAGUCUCUGCUCACUUUCUGCAGUCACUUACUUUAAUAACACACUUCAGCUUCCACCCCCAGUUCUAUUCAUCCAUCUGUCCACCUUUUCAUCUCCCCAUCUACCCAUCUUUACUCAUUCACCCAUCCAUCCAUCCACCUACCCACCUAUUCAUUCAUCCAUCCACCCAUCCACUUAUCUACCUAUUCAUUCAUCUAUCCAUCCACCCAUCCAUCCAACUAC
rnacentral:lncRNA from 1 species